AUUUAUUUAAUAUAAAAAGUAUAUUUGAUUUCCAAUCAAAAAGUCUAAUUAUCUUAGAAUAAAUA
rnacentral:tRNA from 1 species